UACGUGGGGGGCAAGCGUUGUUCGGAAUUACUGGGCGUAAAGGGCUCGUAGGCGGCCAACUAAGUCGGAUGUGAAAUCCCCAGGCUUAACCUGGGAACUGCAUCCGAUACUGGAUGGCUUGAAUCCGGGAGAGGGAUGCAGAAUUCCAGGUGUAGCGGUGAAAUGCGUAGAUAUCUGGAGGAAUACCGGUGGCGAAGGCGGCAUCCUGGGCCGGCAUUGACGCUGAGUGAGCGAAAGCCAGGGGAGCAAACGGG
rnacentral:rRNA from 1 species